UGGCUCAGUUGGUAGAGCAUGGUGUUUGCAACGCCAGGGUUAUGGGUUCGAUUCCCAU
rfam:Salmo salar isolate Sally breed double haploid chromosome ssa02, whole genome shotgun sequence.